rnacentral:tRNA from 1 species
GGAGAGUGGGCUGGAUGGUAAGGCAUCGGAUUGCUAAUCCGACGCUCCGAAAGGGGCGAGUGGGUUCGACUCCCACACUCUCCGCCA